rnacentral:rRNA from 1 species
CUUGCUUCUCUUGAGAGCGGCGGACGGGUGAGUAAUGCCUAGGAAUCUGCCUGGUAGUGGGGGAUAACGUUCGGAAACGGACGCUAAUACCGCAUACGUCCUACGGGAGAAAGCAGGGGACCUUCGGGCCUUGCGCUAUCAGAUGAGCCUAGGUCGGAUUAGCUAGUUGGUGGGGUAAUGGCUCACCAAGGCGACGAUCCGUAACUGGUCUGAGAGGAUGAUCAGUCACACUGGAACUGAGACACGGUCCAGACUCCUACGGGAGGCAGCAGUGGGGAAUAUUGGACAAUGGGCGAAAGCCUGAUCCAGCCAUGCCGCGUGUGUGAAGAAGGUCUUCGGAUUGUAAAGCACUUUAAGUUGGGAGGAAGGGUUGUAGAUUAAUACUCUGCAAUUUUGACGUUACCGACAGAAUAAGCACCGGCUAACUCUGUGCCAGCAGCCGCGGUAAUACAGAGGGUGCAAGCGUUAAUCGGAAUUACUGGGCGUAAAGCGCGCGUAGGUGGUUUGUUAAGUUGGAUGUGAAAUCCCCGGGCUCAACCUGGGAACUGCAUUCAAAACUGACUGACUAGAGUAUGGUAGAGGGUGGUGGAAUUUCCUGUGUAGCGGUGAAAUGCGUAGAUAUAGGAAGGAACACCAGUGGCGAAGGCGACCACCUGGACUAAUACUGACACUGAGGUGCGAAAGCGUGGGGAGCAAACAGGAUUAGAUACCCUGGUAGUCCACGCCGUAAACGAUGUCAACUAGCCGUUGGGAAGCCUUGAGCUUUUAGUGGCGCAGCUAACGCAUUAAGUUGACCGCCUGGGGAGUA